UAACUGUAUAUUCCUAUUGAAAUUUUGUUUUCAGGUUCAUUCAGACCCAAAUAACGGCACCCCCAUCCUCCUAAAUACUCCUCUAAAUAUUUAAUUUUUAAUAUUAGGAUCAGGUGUGUAGGUAUUGGUGUAGUUUUAUACAUUUUAAUCUAACAUCUUAUCAUAACCAUUUCCAUAUUACAAACUCUAGAAGUUUCCUUUCUUUAAACUGUUGCAGUUGUGUUUCAUCAAGUGGGUGCUUUAAUUUUUGUAGACCUGACUUAGACAUAGCUACAACACUUCCAGGCACGUGUGAUGGAUUUCCUUUAACCCAAGUUACUUUCUUCUUUGAUGAGCUGUGGUGUUUUUCCAUAUGUGCCGUGGACAGAUCAGUUGAGCAUUUUUGUCAUCUGCAAAUCAUUUUGGUCAAGUGGCAAGGGUAUGGACUGUGGAGUAAGAAGAGCCUGCUUCUGCCUCUGGUUCUAAUCUACAGGAACAAGAUAUUUUUAGUACUAGAAGAAGAAGGUUCCAGGUUUUGGGAGAUCAUCAUUUCUGGCAGCAGCCUGACCUGA
rnacentral:lncRNA from 1 species